AUUGCCUUUGCUGGUGUUUUGUGAGUGAGCCCAGGAUAGGGUUAAAUGCAGAGCUAUGUGGGUAUGGAAGCAGAAAACACCUUGCUGCUCUCCCCUCCUGGUGUGGAAAACAACAGGAGUGAUCACGGCAACACAGCAGAGCAGGAGUAAACAAGAUCUUACAUGAAGCACUAACAAUGGGCAAAAAUGAAUCUGAUGGCUGAAGUGGUGCUGGUUGAGUAGGGAUGGGUGGGUGCUGGCAGCAGCAGGAGCCCCCAGCUGGUGUGACAGCCCCUAUCCCCAUGUGAUUAGAGCACCUGCCUGCUGAUCUCUCAGACUACGUUUCUCAUGAGACAUCAUACAGCACUCCAGCCAAGGAUGGAGUCCACGCUUAAUCCUUGCAGUAUGGCAGGACAGUGCAGCACCAUGUCAUAAUGGAUAGGUCUAGUUUAAAACUGCAAUUUUAAGUACUUUUUUAAUUUGUUUUGGGAAAAGGAUCGUGUGUGUAUAUGAAUGCCAGGUCUACUGGCUAUUGAAAACUGUACUCUUUACUCAGGAUGCAUAGAUUUGAUUAUGCAAUCUUGCUGGAACAGUUUUCUAAUCAAUGUCAGUAUUAUUCACUUAAUGAGUGUUAAAAAAGAAAGGAAGAAAGAAAACUGGUGUUUCUAAACAGCUCUAUCAGCUACUAAGAGGAACAACCACCUUUUUAUUUAAAAGAAUGGUUGUUUGGGGAUAUAAUGAUUAUUUGUAGAGCACUGGGAUAUAGGAGGGAGGAUUUUUUUAAACUGAGUGCAUAAAAUCAUGCUGUGUUCCUUGAUAUCACCUCACAGACUGGUUUAUUUCCAGUGUCACCUUCACUGUUUUGUAAUCUGUAUGCAUAGUGAAUAAACUCUACACCUAAGGACUUGGACUUGAUGAUCCUUAGGGGACCUUUCCAACUCAGGAUAUUCUGUCAUCUUGAUUCUACUUUCUUUGAAGUGCAUCCAUGACAUUUACCUGCAAGGCAAAGCUUGCUCUUCUCCACAGUAAACUGAUGGAGGGACACCUUAAAAUCCCUGGAGUCCAGGCACCUUCAAAAUGUGGGGAGUAUAUGGUCACUGCCUGCUUUCACUUAUUAGUGACCAGACUUGAGCUUCACCAGCUUAUGGCUCAGGUUUUGUCAAGUCUUACUGAGCUAAUUUCCACUGGGACUAAUCAAAGCAUAGCCUGAGCAUUUGAUGGUUUGGACCUCUGUCAGAAAUACAUGACUAUUUUGAUAUUGCCAAAAAAUAUGUUGCUAAAGAGAAUUGUUUCCUUUAUUUAUAUUCAUUUAUGCUUGGGCUAUAGCACAGGCAAGAGCAAAAUCCAUUUGGAAGAAGAAAAAACAAAGUCAAGGUGAAAACAAAAUCUUUCCAACGUCAUUCCUGUAGUGGUAAGUCAUCCUGCUGAGAGCAACAGUUUAGAUCCUGCCACAAUAAAUCUCAUAACCUCCAUCCUGAAAACAAGCUAGAAUGGAUUUCUAGAGUGAGAAAUACAUAGACAUAAUUUGGGGAAAACAUUAUGGAAAUAAGUAUUCAGAAAGAGGCAAGCAGUAUGAAGUGUUACCCUUCAUUAGCUCUUAUGUUGAUAUAAGCACUUGUUUCAGAGUCCCUCUCCCUCUUGAGGACUACAGGUAAUGGACGAGUGGUUUUGUCUUCAUUCAAACUAUCAUUACUGUAGUAUCAAUUGAAACAUUAAGAAAAUAAGGGACAAAAAAUUUAAUUCCUCUGUAACAACAGUUUUGACCCUUGAUCAAGGUUCUUUAAGAGUAUAACCAGGCCUCGCAAUGUAAUUAUGUUUUGAAACUUGUGUACCUAAACACCUUUACACCAGUCUCAGAAAAAUGGAGACACUGAAAACAUAACAUUCAGUUUGUUAAGGACAAGAACUCUUUCCUCUUAAAUAAAGUUAUUUUAUUCUUCUUGCCUCUGAUGUCUCUAUUUUCUAUAUUCCAUUCUUUCUGUGCUCUUUGGUCUUGAGUCCACCCAGUCCUCUUCGUUUUCAUUGCAAUUUUUCCUUUCUCUUUAUGUAGCAUUUUCUCUAUGAGAUGUUUUGCAUACAUUUUUCUUCUUCUCAAGUCACCAGAACCUAUUGAGGGUCAACAAAAAGGAUUCCUUCUGAUUUUUACUGCUUUGUGAAGUACGUUCAACAUCAUUGAGCAAAGAAGCAUCAUGUGAGACUCAGGACAGAGCUGUAAUGCUGCAUUCAAGGGCACAGCCUGUAUGAAGCACAUUAUAGAGAGUUUUAUUGUAGCACAUUGAUUACGUGUACUUAAAUGUCUACACUCCACCUUCUAAGUUUAAAUUCACAGGACUGUAAAAUGGUUUAAUUUUAUAAAAAUCCAUAUUCUUUUUGAUUAUCAUACUAAAUUUUUCUGCAUGGACUAGCACAAUCUUCUGAUGCAGAGUGCAUCUGACUAUUAAAAUGCAACUUACAAAUGAACACGAGUGUGAAAUACCUUUAUUUGCCACGAAGCAGAAGUGAGGUCAUGCCUUGCAAGUAUAUUCAUACUUCCUUCUCAUAUUUCCUUGAGGUCUCAAUGGAUUCCUGUUUAAGGGCGACCCAUAUACCUGACCACUGUGGGAAAGAGUCCUUCUGCACACAAGUAACUACUUGAGGAAGGAAAUGUAGGAACAGGUGCAAGAAGUAGUGAAUAUCAGCUGAAUCCAUACUGACUUUUACCAGAUGUAUUCACUGAACUGUGCACUCAUUAAUAAGUGAUACGAAAAUGAUACUGUGCUUUAAGUGACAGCCUUUGCUGCUGAUGUACCUGCCAAGGUGUUGGUGGCAGAGUGGCUUAACAGGGAAGCCGUUGUGAAAAGAGAACAGGGCUACCCCAUGCUGGAUACAGCAGAAAGUGUCAGUAUUUUAAAUAAUUGCAAAAAUAUGAAACUUAUUUUCCAGAAGUCAAAACUGUUUCACCACCAUGGUAACUGGUAAUUGAUUUCCCUGUCUUUUUUGCUUAUGUUUUUUUCCCUGCUUUCUCCCCCUACCGCAUUCCAUCCUGCUGAGUUAACAAGCAGCUGGGUAGGAACUUGACAUCUAACCAAAGCCAAUCCAUUGCAAAGAUUGACUCAGGAGAGGUGCUCCAGCCCUGUGAUCAUCUUCACAGUUCCUCCUCUGGACCCACUCAAACAACUCUGCAUGCUUCUCCAGAUCUGGACACACUAUAUCAGUUCCAGUACAAUGUCCAAGUAAGACCAAAAAUAUAUGGAGAGACUUCUGUGAAUAAGACUCUUGAUUCUGAGUCCAGUACUGUCAUCAGUAGCCUUAGACUUGGUAGGAGAAACCUGCGUUUCAAAGGACAGGACAGGACAUGUCAAGAGUGCAGCCAUGGUCCAAGCAGCACACCAUGAAUAGAAACAUUGCAAGGACUGGAGAGAAACUACCAUGUUCCAGAUAGAAGAUACAUGUGCCCUUGGCCACAUCAGGGACAUAAAAACAAGAUCUAAGAAAGGUAUCAGAGAUUAAAGCCCUGCUUGGGAAUUCUAUCUUUAAUAGUAAAUAUGCAUUCCCUCUCAAAACACAUUUGAGCAUAGCCAUGAAGUUUUGGUGGUGAACAUAGAGAUAGGGCAAUAUUCAUACAUUACACAUAAUUUUUCCUCAGGUGUUUCAAAAACACUCAAAGUGGUUUCCCAGUUCAGCCCUUGGAAGUCAUGUCUGACAGAGGAACUGGGUAACACACAGAGAGCUUCCUUUGUUUUCCUCUAGUUUGAAUAUUUGGUUUAAAAUGCAUCCUUCCAGUGCAGGGCAAGGAAUAUUGCCAGGUGGAUUUCAAAUGUGCCUGUUAAAAAUACAAAUUAAAGCGGGAUUAAAAAAAAAUCACCUUCCACCAAUAAUGAAGCCAUCAAGAAAAGUAACACUAACAAACAGAAAUAGGGUCCCAUUAUGUAAGUGAGUUGCAGACCAUCUUAAUAGAUGGAAAUUUGCCUGUCUCAGUCUACGUAAUUAAAAUGUACUGUAUAUAAUUAAAAUUAAUGUAAUUAAAACAGUCUCAGCACCAAGUUUAAUUAUGUCACUCAAAUGUUGCUUCUAGACACACCAAAAUCAGCGUGUCAGUAAUAAGAUAAAUCUCUAUAUUCCUUUAGAUUAAUAAACAGAUGGGUCUAAAAAAGGAAAAAGAGCUAAAAAAAAUAUCAACACUGAAAUAAUUAUUUUAUUCAACAAAUAGAAUGGAGAUUUUUCUCCUAAACUGUUAUUCUUAUGGGUAGCCUUACAGGGAUAUCUGUUUUAAUGCAUGUAUAGAAAUAACCAGUAGCUUAAAUAUCAGAGAAGCCAAACUCAACAGUUUAAUCUUCUGAUGUAAUUCUGUACCACUUAUAAAGAAGAUAGAACACAAUUCCAACAAUUAAUUGUGUGAGAAGGAAAGCUCACAAGGCUUUUCCAUUCACAGGUGAACCUCAGUACCAUCAGCUUUACACCACAGCUUAUCUCAGCACCCACCCAUGUCACUGAUGUACGUGUUUGGUCUGUAGGCUGGGCAAAAGUCCAUGUACCCUAUGGUUGUGGUUGAACAAGUGUUGAUGGAGAGAAAAAUGAACACCUGAGACCUGUCCAGUUCUGGUCAUAUUGGUCACCAGAUCAAAGGAUGCCAGCUGAUACUGCAGCUGCAUAAGCAUCUUGCAGUUGGGAAAAAAGGCUGAGAAAAGAGUUGAGGUGGCAAAGAGAAAGUUCAUGUUUGUAGAGAAGUUUUCCAAGAGGGAAAAAAGUUCUGCAAUCUGUUGUUUUACAACAUAAGCUGUGGGCUAAUAAGGUAUAUAAAGUUAUGUUGACAACUGCAGAUGUUUCAUGCUUACCAUUUCAAUUAAAUAUUCCUGAAGUGGUUAUUA